rnacentral:lncRNA from 1 species
GUGAGCACAGGACGUGAUGACCAGGGCCUGGGAUAGCCAGAUGGGGACCAUUCCAGUGGGGAAACCCAUGGUGAGGGGGAACCCAAAGGCAGGCCCAGCCCCACGGCCGAGCAAAGAGCUCAUUUAGUUGGAGUGGAAGUGGCACAUGUUGGCCCGGGAAGGAAGCAGGGUGGCCCUCCUGCCAGGAUCCCAGGGCUUAGCCCUCAACCCCAAAUAAUGGAAGGGGUAGAGAUCCACGGGUGGCAGAAGUUGGGGGGACGCAGAGGAGAUCAUGAACGUGCUGGGAGCCUUGAGAGAAUUUCUGGAGCCAGAGAAGGACUAGCUCAGAGAACUGAUCAUGAAAGUGUUCCCCUAUCCUCUGCACCUGAGUUCACACCACCUCAAUGCAUUCACACCACCUCAAUGCGUUCACACCACCACAAGCUCAUACCAUACUCGGUCACCCAACUACAAUACUUAACUCUUUCUGUUAAGUAUUCCUGGUUUGCGUAAUGUGCCCUAGUUAUGCAAGAUGUCACCACUGAAGGAAGCUGGGAGAUGGACCAUGGACCUUUCUGUGUCAUUUUUGCAACUUCUUCUGAGUCCAAAAAUUAGUUCAAAAGGAAGGAAAGUGCUAACAAAUUCAUUAAGUAGAAAUUAAUUUAUCAAAGCAUCUCAUGUAACAAUGCAAAGGCCUCCAUGAGUAGUAAGGAUCUAUUAGUCGUUUGCACACUCGUGUGAAUUAGCUGGUUAGAAUUAAUCUUCGCAUGAAACUGAAUGAAGUACUGGAUGGGGGAGGAUGUGGAACAAUACUCAUAUUUGAGGUGAGGGUGCCCUGAGGGCUGGACUGAGAGAUGUAUUCAAUGGGGCUGAGGGUUAGGACAAGCUCUGAGCCUCAGGGCAGAGACUCUGGGAGAGAAAAGGGCCUGGGCUCUGACCUGGAAGGAUAUGUUCCCUCCUGCAGCUCCUCCACCUCUACCCAUUUUGCCACGGGGUCCCGUGGCCCUGGCAGAAAAUGAGCUGCACCCACAGAGCUUUGUUCUCCGGAUCAAGAGUCAUGUUUGUUUUAUGGGCAGCCUGGAAGCAGAAAAAGCUACUUGUUCAACCCAAUUUGACUAUGGGCAGCAAGAUUAUAUUCAUGCUCAAUGACCGCUGCUCAGCUCCAUUUGGGAAAACAAACCUCAGCGACUUGGGAAUGGCUUAGGUUCUGUGUUGCCCUUUGUCAGAGGCUGUGGGGGGCUGUGGGACUGCAGUAAGGGCCUGAGACUCUGCCUCCAGGCCCCCCGAGCAGGGUGGGCUCUCACACAGCCUUGACUUUCUGGGGAGCAGCUAGAGCAAGCUCGAUGAGACAUAUGUUUUUCUUCUGCUUGCAGAGGAAAGAGGCUUGGAUUAAGUUUUGAAAUUUAUUUCAAAUGCCUCUAUCAUGAGACUUACACAAUUUGUAUUUUCCAGCUUUAAAAUAAGCUUUAAAGUUUGAGACUUUAUUUGUCUGAGCGAGGAAAAUGCUUCCUUCUUUGUUAGACGUUUUGUUGUUUAUUGAACACCUAAGAAAAAGCCAUUUGACAAAGAUCCAAAUGUUUACUCUCCAGUGACAGAGGCCCAAUCAGAGUGUGCCUCGUGGGGGAAUUUGUGUCCUAGAGGGUAACGGUUGAAAGAAAAAGUCACCAGGGCUGCUCCACUGUGGUCUGCACACACAGGUCAACUUAAGAGGAAUCAGUUUUUGCUUUUUUUUUUUAAAGCCAAACAGUACAACAAGCAUUUCUGCUGAUGUGAGUGUUUCUCUGCCAGCUGGCUGUGCCGUACUGUGUGGGCCAUCUAAGGCAACUAGUGACAGUUUUGUUACUCCAGGAUUCGUUGCAGAACAGAGCCAAGAUGUGUUCUCUUCAGGUUUUCUUCAGGUUCCAGCUGACUGUGGAGAAAGUGCAAUAUGUAUCCAAAAGUAAAAAUGUCCUUCUUCCUAGAAUUGUGUUUCUGAGCCACAGGCCAGCAUUUAAAUAUAAAUACUUUGGUCACUAGAAUACAUGAGUUCCAUGAAGCAUAAAUGGUCUGACUUCAUAUAAGACAUUUGAUGAGGGCCUUAAACAUUUCCUGCAGCCCCACCCAGGAUGAGCGUGCUGAAGGCCAGCGCUGCUGGUCAGCCCCACAGAGGUUUCCACAGCGCUUUGGGGUCUUCUCUCCUCGGCUACUAAAUGGCUCCUAACACACUCGGCUCUUCUUUGAGACAAGACCAUAGGUGGGGGUUUGUGAUUGUUAUGGGUUUUGUUUGGGAGUUUGAGAUACUUGAUACAGGGCUGUAACUCCAUGGGUUUGGGCAAAGGCGUGGCCUUAGGCAUUCAUUGGUAUUUCUUAGCCAGAAGAUCUCACAGAAUGAAAAUCAACUGCCAAUAAAUAAUGCUAACAGUGUUGGCGGUGCGAGGAGAGGGCAGGGAGGGUUCAGGAGCUGGGGCCGGCAGCUCAGUGGCAUCUGGGCUGUCUCCCCUGCCCCAGGAGCAAAUCUCAGCUUGGUUGAGAGAAGACAGAGACAGCACUUUUGAUAGAAAGAGAAGCCCCCAUGAAAUUUGGGAUCUGAGUGGAGUCGUGGGAAACCAGGAAGAAAUGUCAGGAGAUGAUUAAGAUGUAUAAUAAGGUGUCCAAAACCUUUUGACAAAUACAAAUUAGAGAAAGGGAAGCAAGGGCAAGGGCCCUGAGAUGGUGCCCGGAGAACUUUAAGUGGAGCCUGUGCAGCAUCUGGGCCAAGAAAGGGACCACCUCCAUGAGAGGUGGAUGGGGCACGAGCCCCGGGCAGCCUCCACCAGGUCUCCCUAGCCCGAAAUACAGACAACCCAUCUCUUGAUCAAAAAGACGUGUCCGUGUUCCAUCCUCCUUUGUUCAGGGAAGGCUGGCUGUGAGAUCUUUUGGAAGAAAUCUCCUCUCACCACAACAAAAGCAGGAGAACCUUGGCCCGUGAUUCCACAGCACAAGGAAGACACGCAAUUAGCUUCACUGCAAAGUGCUCCCAGAUGAAACUGGAAACACAACAAAUAAAAUCAUUAGCCAUCAGAAUUGGAAUUACCUUCCAAGGCUCAUGCUUGUACUUUUCUCUCGCUGGCUGUCUCUCUGACUCUCUUUCUCUGAUUCUCUCUCUCUUUCUCUCUCUCUGACUCUCUCUCUGUCUCUCUCUCCCUCUCUCUGCCUCUUUAUCUCUGUCUGUCCCUUUCUGUCCCUCCAUCUCUGUCUUCCCCUUCUGUUUCUCUUUUCCCUCUCUUUCUCUCUUCCUAUCUUCCUCCCUCUUCCUCUUUCUCCUCUCUCCUUCUCUCUGUUUCCCAAACACCACUCUCAAUGGUGCUAAUGACUAUAUGGAAACUGAGUCCUGUGCCUGUGUGUGGGAGAAGAAGGCAGCAGACAGGAGGAUGCCCAGGAGCACAGAGGAGUGGAGUGCAUUCGCAGGACAAGCACAAGAAAGCCGAGAGUGCUGACGCCUCUCAGGCUGCCCACUGCCACACUGCCACCGCGAACCACCUGCUACAGCAGCCACACUCCAUCGAGGCAGAGAGGGCCAUGCACCUGCUGCAGACAGCAAGAGUGGAAGAACCUGGGAAGCUCUCUGCCAAUGCUCACAGCUGUCCUGGAAGAGGGAGUGGGGCCACCCAGCCCAGCUCAACUGCCCGGUAGAGCUCAAUUCCAUAGACGGUGGUCUCUGGGGACAGAGUGCCCCUCAGCUCCCAGGAAUGUGCCUGCCUGCUUCCCUCCCCGUGACACUUCCCUCCUCAGCUGGACAUGCGCUGACGUCCACUUGUGAUGUGUUUAGCUUCACUGCAUGCCCAUGAGAGCCACGUGACCCUCAGCAGGACUUAUGAAGAUGUAACAUUGGACAUGGUAACAGAACAACCACACGAGAAUAAUCUCACAAGAUGGCCCAUCCCCAACAGGCUAGCACCUGGAACACCCUGGACACAUGUGUUUCCUGCUGGAACAGUGACUGAGGGGACACUAAGGUCCCCCCAUCGGUGUGGGGUGUAUGGGAACUCUCUGUACUAUCUUUGUAAUUUUUCUGUAAAUGUAAAACUCUUAUAAGAAAUGAAGUUUAUUUUU